GUGCCAGCAGCCGCGGUAAGACGGAGGGCGCAAGCGUUGUUCGGAAUUACUGGGCGUAAAGCGCGGGCAGGCGGUCUGUUAAGUCGUUUGUGAAAACCCGGGGCUCAACCCCGGGAAUGCAGACGAUACUGGCAGGCUAGAGACCGGUAGAGGCUAGCGGAAUUCCAGGUGUAGCGGUGGAAUGCGUAGAUAUCUGGAAGAACACCUGUGGCGAAGGCGGCUAGCUGGGCCGGAUCUGACGCUCAUCCGCGAAAGCGUGGGGAGCAAACAGGAUUAGAUACCCUGGUAGUCCACGCCGUAAACGAUGGGCACUAGGUGCCGGGUCUCUAGACGGAUUCGGUGCCGUAGCUAACGCAUUAAGUGCCCCGCCUGGGGAGUACGGUCGCAAGGCUGAAACUUAAAUGAAUUGACGGGG
rnacentral:rRNA from 1 species